GUAACGGGAAUGAAGUUCUCCCGCGAAUGAAUGUAUGUAAUUCGAAACCGCCAUAAGGCUGAUGACUUCUGCGAA
rnacentral:ncRNA from 1 species